CAGAACAAAGAAUAGAUAGAAAAGCCAUGACUUUUCAAUUAACCAAACAAUACUUGUUAGCCAAGAUUAUUAUGAUAAUCCGAUGUAUACUACACUUUACAUUCGCCACUCUCUUAUUCAUUGGAUACAACACAGAGAAUACAACAUGCAGAACCAGUAAUCGGCCAAUCAGUUAAGUCGAGCAUUGUUUCGAACAAACGUGCGAGAGCACCAGAGGGUUGUCCCUAAUCCUUGCGGCCUAUCGAAAAUCCAUGAUCGAAAUAUAUCUACUCUGUCAAACGCAUGCGUACCUAGAUCGGGCUACCCUUUCGUCCGACAAGGAUUUUUACGGCUUUCAAUCCUGUCAGAAUGAAGGACGUGUCGCCUCUGGAUUUGCCAUCGAAAUCUUUGUUAUGUACUUUGCCAUAAAUCAGGAUGCGCUUCAAUCGAUGGGUUAUGAUCCGAUCACGUGGAAUAUAUUAAAUCAACGAUGGACGUAUGGGUCACGUGCCGUCGUUGAUGGGAGAACUAUCGUCCAUGAAAGAGGCUUCCCACUCUCUAUUGUGGCCACGACGGUUGAGGGGUUGAGCAAAACAGAGACAAGAAGAAGAUAGAAAAGGGAGUAAAAGAGAGACGGUCGAACGACAGAAACGCAAAAGGGUGGUUUUGCCCAGACUCACAAGUGGCAGCUUUUAAUCUCUUCCAGGGAUAUCUCAACUCAAGUCUGAAUUGUACCUCGUUACCAACGGUUUAAUUGCUUGUUAAUGGAUAAUCGAAGUAUUUUACGAAUUGGCUCCGGGAAUACUAACCAUCGACUUCAUGAUGAAACAUUUAAUUUUGCUAGAAUUUUGUAACUUCGAUUGAAUAAAUCGUUUUAUCAAAUAAUUAAUUAACUUAUCCAAUAAUUACUAUAUCUCUUUUUAAGGGAAAAUAAUCAUAUUAUAUUUUCUUUUUCAGAAUUAAUUGAUAACAAAUCAUAUCCAUUGAAAAUAUCAACCUAAUGGAAGAUAUAAAACUACAGACACAAAAGUAAAUAUUUAAUAGUCUGCUCUAAAUAAUAGAAGAGACACAAGGUGGGAGGUUACGGUGCUAAUUGACCGAUCAAUCUUCAUUAGAAAACGGCUUAAUUACAGUACAAGCUCUCUCUCUCAGAAACUCGUCUCCGUCGUAGCCAUCGUUUCCUUCACCUCCUUUCUUCCGGUGCCCUGGAAAGUUUAAUAAUUCCGAAACCUUGGUGAGAUAUAAAUCACAGAGGUACCUCUCUCGAUGCCGUCCUCCUUUUCCCUCUGCCUUUCUCUCCGCUAUGGCCAUAAUUCGAAAAACUUUCGAGGGAACAAAAGUGAGGACUUUUGUUCCAAGUUUUAGUCCUUCAUCUCACUCCUCGUUCGUGAGGGCGCUGUGUUUGCGGAGCGACGCCCCGACAGUGUUUUGUUCGCUUUGUCUCUUUUUCCUGUUAGGUAUACAAUGCCGUAACUGCCUGGACCAUCUCUUCGCGUACCUCCUUCGCGUCCAACCACGAAAGAUUCCAAGUUUCUCUCCUUUCCUCCUUUUACCAUCUCGCUCUUCUUUGAUUCUUGAUCUUCCUUUUUCUAUCUCAUUCUUUCUUCACUUUAUUAUUUCUCUUCCUCCGUCACCAAAAGAAGACGAGAUAAAGUACGUAUACGCAAAACAUCGAGGGUCUCGCGGCGUUUUGUUGGGUAAAAGAAGGAUAGGAAGAGAACAAAAUGGAACGGAGUACCGCCCACGCAUAUAGAAGAAAGACCGGUGAACAAGUUCAUUCCGAUUCUUCUAUACCUUCUCUACCUCUUAGUAGGACCAUUAAAUCUUCAUUGAA